GCUGGGCAUCCGGACCCUACAAUUUCCCGUCGGGAACCGCUGGACGACCUUGAGACUUCAUGCCCUUCAUAUCCCUUUCCACACUGUCACACAGAGUCCCACACAGUCACACCAAGUACAACGAUGCAGUGGCAGACGAGGGAAAUGGAUGAAGCCUGAUGGUGGUGCAGGUGAAAGAGCUCGCUGUUGUCGGCCUCACAGAGGUGGUCCACGUCACGACUAACGCUCUAGGGCCGACUUCUAAGGGAACUGUGCCGACAUAUGUCUGACAGCGUCUGAGGAAAACCCAGAAAAAACCCCAGAUAGCACAACCCGCACCGGGAAUCGAACCCGGGUCCGUCCUAGUCUCGACGUGACAUGACCAGCACGCUAAGCACUGAGCCACGCGAGCUGGUGGAUGAGCGCCUACUUCAGCCAGUGAGGCAGUCGGCCCAGCUGUCUCAAUCCGAGCCAAUAAGGCAACCAGUCGCAAAAACUUCACAAUAUGGUAUGCGAAUAGAGAUGCUCCCAAACGAUAUUGUCAUGCGUUGGCUACUGUAUGGUGAGCAAACUGCAAAGCAAACCGUUUCAGCUGUGCGUAUCUCAAGCAGAAAUCAACAAGAUGAGUGGGUCCUCCCCCGUACUGCUGCAGUGUAUAUCCUGCACAUGAUGCGAAUGUCUUGCGCAGGUGAGCGGAGCAGAUGCUUCGCACAUCCGUCACAGGUCUUUGGCUGUUAACAGGCCCUUCUGGAGGGCUGUCUCAGGAGAUCUCCUCA